CGUGGGGAACCUGCCCCAUAGUCUGGGAUACCACUUGGAAACAGGUGCUAAUACCGGAUAAGAAAGCAGAUCGCAUGAUCAGCUUUUAAAAGGCGGCGUAAGCUGUCGCUAUGGGAUGGCCCCGCGGUGCAUUAGCUAGUUGGUAAGGUAAAGGCUUACCAAGGCAAUGAUGCAUAGCCGAGUUGAGAGACUGAUCGGCCACAUUGGGACUGAGACACGGCCCAAACUCCUACGGGAGGCAGCAGAC
rnacentral:rRNA from 1 species